rnacentral:lncRNA from 1 species
CAUUCGUCUAAGUUCUUACCAAACAACAUAUUCCCGUGGAAUGGUAAGGAACACAAACUAUUCUUGGAGGAAGCAAGAUCUGAGCAAGAUCUGAGCCAAAGCGCCCGUCUGGUGGAAAUUGUAAAAGACAUAUUCCUGGCAAGAUUUCUUACUAGAUCCACUGCUGCUUCAGAUGAGAAAUCAAUGGCUAAUCCUUCAGGCCAUCCACUAUGGAGGAACGGCUUCUGCCACCCCUGAUGUCCUCCUCCAGUUCUUGUAGCCAGACCUUCAUUGCUCUUGUAAUGGACGUGAGAGCAAAGGCCGGGUGGAGACUCGUGCCUGAGGCUACAUAAGACUUGGAAAGAUAGUAUUCCAUUUUCCGAUCCAUCGGAUCCCUGAAAGAACCCGCAUCGUCCACAGGCAAGGUAGUGUGCUUAGCCAACCUGACAACUGCAGCAUCAACUUUGGGUGCAAAAUCCCAUGCCUCAGCAUCUUUGGGCUCGAAUGGGUAUAACUUGGAGAAUUUUCCCAUGGCAGAUGAUCUCCUAUCAGAUCUGGACCAUUCCUCCUUAAUAAGAUCAUUUAUUGUGUCAUGCACCGGGAAAGCCGCUCUUUUUCUCCUAAGAUCAGAGAAAUAGUGAUUAGAUGUAGAGGGUUCUGUAAGUGUAAGGACAUGAAAUGUUAACUCUUUUUGCUUUAUAUGUUUUAAAAUAAUAUUUGAAAUAAUUAUGCUGACUUUGGCAGAUGUAUUUUGUACCAAGGUCUUUCGUCUACAGGAUGUAUGACCUUGCUCGACCUCAGGAUGUUACUGUGCCGUCUUUAUUCAAACGCUUAUCUUUUUAAUGUCAGACAAGUAUGUACUACUAACUUUAAGGACGUGAUAAAUCUCACUGCUUGCGUGACAAACAGUGUAUAAAUGCUAGCCCUGAAAAUAUACUCAUUGAGAACUUGUUAAGCACUCUUUCAUCUCUGUGUCUUAAUUUGCUAACAAGAACUCCCAUCAAUUGAUGUGGUGACCGGAGGAUCGAGAAUCGAGGGGAGUUGAGUCCAGAACAGCAUUAACCCUUUCAGCUUGGUGUCAUGAAGUGGGAUUACAGCAGGACCAUUUGCGGUAAGUAGCCUUUUUGUGUCUUACUGACGCUAAUUGUCUAUGACCCCCUUUGGUUCAGUAAGUCUGUAUCCAGUAGAAAGGAAAGGUGUAAGGACUUUAGUUAUAUUGAGACUGUAAAUAGGUCUCCGGUUUAUUAGACAUUUGGUCUAAAUAUAUAUAGGGUUUUGGUAACCCAGAUUAGUAUCUAAGAUAGAUACAGGGUAUCUCAGGUAGAUACAGGUUUUGAGACCAUAAGAGGUCUCCGGUUUAUUAAGACUAUAGGUGUUCUGAGGAGCACGGUUUAUAGAUCUAUAAGUAUACCCCAAACAUCUCUUUCUCCUGGUCACCUUUGUUUGUCUUAAGUGUUCUUUGUGGGUGAUUGUCUGUAUAGGGGACACACUUUGGUAAGUUAGUAGUGUGUCUGCCCUGAGUCAGCAGUAUGGGAAAUGUAAGUUCAGGUCCUGAGUGACCAAUAUAUAUAUACGUACUGUAUAUUAGAAAAGAACUGACUCGCAGGUUGUACCUGAUAGACCUACUUAAAUCUUUUGCUUUAUUCUUUAUGUCGCAUAGAAGUAUAAGUUUAUUACUCUGUUUUAUUGUAAGUUAUUUCACAUGGGAUCUAUGUGCCUGGUAUGAUUGUUACUUUAAUACCAUAAGCCCACUACACUUUCUAUGAGAGUGGAAUAGUUUAAAUGUGUUACAUUGUUUGCAUGAUGAGCUCAGUAGUUUUAUACUGAGACAAAGUCACUUCAUUAGUAUUUGAAAGUUAAUUCCCCGUAUGGGAUUAAUUGUAUAGAACACAAAUCAGCACAUCUUCCCUGCCCUGUGUGUUUGUUGCAGAGGAUCCAUACUGUAAAUAUGAUUUUUGUUUGUAAAUAAGAGAGCAACAUUUACAUUUUCAGAGGUCCAACACAUGCUUCAUUUUGUGCUGUAAGCUAACAAUUUUAUUGCUACAGAUCCAUGAUCCAGUGGAAUAUCUACUGCAUAUGUUUUGUGUCUUCUAUGUUUCACAUUAUAUGUGUUCUUUUAAAUUGUGGUAUAUAGCCUGGAUCAGAGAUCAUGGACAAAGGUUUCUACCUCAGAUAUGGAUAGGGUAGAAGUACUUAACCCUAUCGGCAAGAGGGACACUAUACAAAGAAUCCCUUUUAUAUCACCAUGUACCCCGUACAGUAAUGCUAUUAAAAAAAAUAAUAAUGAAACAUUGGAGCAUCUUUGAGGGUGAUAUUAAUUUGCCAAAAGAAUUUAGGAAUCCUCCCUUGUUCUCCUAUAAAAGAGCACAGAAUUUGAGAGAUAAACUAGUACAUUCGGAUAUAGGCAGCAACAAAAAACAGAGAAGAUUCUUCUCUGAACCUAAGAAAGGCACGUUCCCAUGCCUGAAUUGUAUACAUUGCAACAGUGUAAUCAGAGGUGAGUGUUUUGUACAUCCAUGAUCAGGUAAACACUUUAAAAUUCUUGAUUACUAUACGUGCAACUCAGAAUAUGUGGUUUACAUCUUGAAAUGCCCUUGUGGGUUUCUCUGUGUUGGGGAAACAAUUAGACCAGUGAAGGAAUGCAUUGGAGAACAUAAGAGGGACAUAAGAGCGGCCAUUCAGAAAGAGACAUGUGACAAACCAGUGCCUAGGCAUUUUUAACAGCAAGGUCAUACUGUUAAUCAAUUACGUUUUCAAGUAAUUGAUAGUGUUAAACCAUUAUGGAGAGGUGGAGACAGACAGAAGGUACUUCUAUGUAAAGAAACAAAGUGGAUUAGUACUUUGGAAACACUCCAUCCGGAUGGUCUGAAUGAGGACUAUGAUCUUAAGCAUUUUUUGUAGAAUGACUCAGGGUCGAACGCAAUAGUGUUAUUAUCUUUUGGUCCAUUUAUUCGGACUAAUCUGCCAUUUUAUAUUUACAGCAAGUCAUUGGGAUCCUAAAUGGCACGCCUGCCUUUUUUACCCUUCUAAAGCCAUUACAGGAGUUGACCAUUCUUGGUCCGCUACCCGAGAAGUAACGGGGUCCAACGUGUGAGAAACCACAGGCAUUUUUCACACAUUACACUGCUGGUGAGUAUGCUUAUUUUGUAAAAAUAAGCUAUUUGGAAGGGGUGAACGGUCACCUCUGAUUACUUGUUGCAACUAAAUUUUGGUCUCGCAUAAUUUUUUACUACCCAGGUAUCUACCUGGUGGUGGUGAUUAUACAUAUAAUCAUCUCAACCAAGCAGUGAGAAAUAGAAGAUGAAAUUAGAAAGGGCUUAUCUUAGGGUUAUUUUUCCUUUAAGAGAUUUUUUUUAGUAAAGGUUUUUUCAGUAAAAACCUUUCUUUUCAGUAGAAAGAAUUUUUUUUCCUAAAAAACUUUUCCCACUUAUUCUAAUACUUAU